CACACCGCCCGUCACACCAUGAGAGCUGUUUGUACCCAAAGUCAUUUUAGCCAACCUGAAAAGGGGGCGGAUGCCUAAGGUAUGUAUGGUGAUUGGGGUG
rnacentral:rRNA from 1 species